AUUGAACGCUGGCGGAAUGCUUUACACAUGCAAGUCGAACGGCAGCACGGACUUCGGUCUGGUGGCGAGUGGCGAACGGGUGAGUAAUACAUCGGAACGUGCCCAGUCGUGGGGGAUAACGUAGCGAAAGCUACGCUAAUACCGCGUACGAUCUAAGGAUGAAAGCGGGGGAUCGCAAGACCUCGCGCGACUGGAGCGGCCGAUGGCAGAUUAGGUAGUUGGUGGGGUAAAGGCUCACCAAGCUGACGAUCUGUAGCUGGUCUGAGAGGACGACCAGCCACACUGGGACUGAGACACGGCCCAGACUCCUACGGGAGGCAGCAGUGGGGAAUUUUGGACAAUGGGCGCAAGCCUGAUCCAGCCAUUCCGCGUGCAGGAUGAAGGCCCUCGGGUUGUAAACUGCUUUUGUACGGAACGAAAAGGCUCUGGUUAAUACCUGGGGCUCAUGACGGUACCGUAAGAAUAAGCACCGGCUAACUACGUGCCAGCCGCCGCCGUAA
rnacentral:rRNA from 1 species